CCUACGGGUGGCAGCAGUGGGGAAUAUUGGACAAUGGGCGAAAGCCUGAUCCAGCCAUGCCGCGUGUGUGAUGAAGGCCUUCGGGUUGUAAAGCACUUUCAGUGGGGAAGAAAGCCUUGGGGCUAAUACCCUCGAGGAAGGACAUCACCCACAGAAGAAGCACCGGCUAACUCCGUGCCAGCAGCCGCGGUAAUACGGAGGGUGCGAGCGUUAAUCGGAAUUACUGGGCGUAAAGCGCGCGUAGGCGGUCUGAUAAGCCGGUUGUGAAAGCCCCGGGCUCAACCUGGGAACGGCAUCCGGAACUGUCAGGCUAGAGUGCAGGAGAGGAAGGUAGAAUUCCCGGUGUAGCGGUGAAAUGCGUAGAGAUCGGGAGGAAUACCAGUGGCGAAGGCGGUCUUCUGGACUGACACUGACGCUGAGGUGCGAAAGCGUGGGUAGCAAACAGGAUUAGAUACCCGUGUAGUC
rnacentral:rRNA from 1 species